rnacentral:rRNA from 1 species
GACUAACGCUGGCGGCGCGCCUAACACAUGCAAGUCGCACGAGAAACUUCGUAGCAAUACGGAGCAGUAAAGUGGCGAACGGGUGAGUAAUGCAUGGGUGACCUGUCCUCAAGAUGGGAAUAACCUCGCGAAAGCGGAGCUAAUACCCGAUGCCAUUCCGGUCUCUCGGGAUCGGGAUGAAAGAUAGCUGUUACAGGCUGUUACUUGAGGAAGGCCCANGUCCAUCAGCUAGUUGGUAGGUAACGGCCUACCAAGGCAACGACGGGUAGCUGGUCUGAGAGGACGACCAGCCACACUGGCACUGAGACACGGGCCAGACUCC